UUUAAUAUGUUUAAAUGUGUGUACAGUGGAACCUCGAUUGAACAGACGAACAGUUUGUGAAAGACGAUAUUAUAGUAUGAAUUUCAAGCACUUUUUUCGGUGGCCUAAAACACCCAGCACAGUACAAAAUGAUUGUAAAUGAAUCUCAAAAAUGUUCGAAAGGUUUUAAAGUUGUCCAAAACUGCGAUUGUCUAAUUCUGGCAUGAGCGUGCCGUUGCACAUACAGGACCACUUGGCAACAGACGUGCUCACGAUUUUGCAGGGUUAGGGUAGCUAUGUGUAUCUUUUUAUCGCGUCCACAACAAACUUCAAUCAAUCAGUCAAUCGAAUUUCAUUUACAUUAGUGAUGCACUAAGAUUUCGGCCGCCGAAACGUUUCGGCCGAAAGUGCAUUUCGGGGUCGAAACAACGGCAGCUGCUCUCGGAAAUACCGGUCUUUCUGUUGAUUACGCCCGUCGACAACAGCGGAACGAUUUUCGAGUUCAAGCCGUUCACUACCGCUCGCUGCGGAUUUUGCCCGUGAAAUCCAGAGUCCGUUGGUUCCAGAACCGUUAAUUUAAGAUUUUACCUCAUCAUUUCUGCAAGCGCCGGUCAUCAUUUGGUCUCUAAACAAUGAAUCGAUCAUAAAAAUAGUUGUCGAUGAACUUGCGAAUCAAUGAAUUUUUGUAUUGAAUUUGAAUUUUAAAUUUGAACAUUAUAUACGAUAGAAUAUACAGUAGAUGACAGAUAUGAAUUGUUGCACCUCUAGUGGUCUGGAUAACUCGGCCAGCCGUAUGGUGUUCCUAAUGUAGUGUCCUGUGAGCGUGCAUGUGUGCUUAAGCUCAAACGUCCGUGAGCGUCAUCAUCGUAUUACAUCAUCCUCGUCAUCAUCUUCAUCCUCUGCAACAGAUGGUCAACGGGGGGAGAUGUGCGUGUAUGUGAAAGAUUAAAUCUUAUGAGUAUAUUUUCUCCAACUCGAUUGAAUUUCACGCUUUAGAGGCAACCUUGAAUUGGAGUUCCUAGUUUUUCUCGUUCAGUUCCAUGAAUUCCCAUGGAAAGCGUCCGGCUUUGAGAUUUGAACGCCGACUGUGAGCGUCGUGGUCUCGGCCAUGUUGGUGUUGUGCCCGCUGGCUGUGUUGCUUCUGCACGCUUGCUUGAAGACUGACCAAAGGCGGGAGGCCACGCAGGACUUUGGGACUCCGGGUCUUUUGUCGGCGGCGCGCAGGAGUAAGCGCACCAGGAAGACGGGCAGCCCGGGCGGCACUCCCGGGAAGCCGGGCAAGGCGGUGCAGAGGUGUUUGAGGGUGCUGGGUGGUCCCAGGGUCAUGCUUGGACCAAGAAAGACGUGGGACCUCGGCCACGCCCCCUGUCUGCAGGACCUCUGGAAGAACGACUUCUCGUUGGACGCAAGCUCUGUGGACUUCCUGAUGAGUGAAUGUGAGGAUGAGGCCUCCUUCCUGUCGCUCCCAAGCCCCGCCUUCUCUCAGCGCCCCCUGCUGAGCGCCGAGCAGAGCCAAUCAAACGCGCCCAUGCAGCAGCAGCAGCAGCAGCAGCAGCAGCAGCUCAUCCAGACACUCCAGGACAAAGUGCGCCACCUUCAGGCUCGGCUGGACGAAGAAGAUGCCGCGCGCCAGCGUCUGUUACGGCAACAACACGCCGCCGCGGGGGGGCGGCCGAGAGAGGAACGCGUGGCGGCGUCUGGUGGUGUGGACAAAGAGCAGCUGAGCAGGCGAUUGCACUCGCAGGUGGAGGAACUGGAGAAGAAGCUUGUGGAGCAAACGCAGGAAGUGGAGAGACUUCGUUCAGGACUGGGGGCGACGGACUUGGAGAAGCAUCUGGCGCUUCUGGAGGCGGAGAACCAGAGUCUGAAACGACAGCUGACCUCCAGCUGGGCCUCUGAGGGCGCCUGCGGCUGCACUCAGGAGGUGGAGGCUCUGCGGAGGGAGCUGAUUGGCUGGGAGAAGCGCGGCCGGCAGACGCAGCGCCACCUGGCGGACGUAGAGAGGCAGCUGCUGGACAAAACUGUUCAGGUGGACGCAUUGCAGCGACGACUGGACCGCACCGUGGCCGUGGAAGUAGGACUUCCCGAGCACGACCUUGUGGUCCACUUGCGCGACGAAUCGGCGCCGCUGCAGGCUGCGGAGGAGGCCGGGUCCGGCGACUGCGCGUCUUCGCUGCGUGUGCAAAACGCUUUGCUGCAGGAGCAAAUUUGUGUUCAGCGCCACCUGCUGGGAGAGCUAGAGGCGCAAGUGCAGCAGUCACAGAGGGCGUGCGCUCAGCUCCGGACGCAGGUGGCGGUGUACGACGGUGAGAUGACGCGCGCUCACAAGCAGCUGGACGCCGAGCUGCUGGAGCUGAAGGAGGAGAAGGAGCGCGUCGUCCACGAGGCGUUCCUCAGGGCCGAGAGCCAAAUGAAGGCCGUGCACGACAACCUGGCAGGAGUGCGCACGAAGCUUCUCGGUCUUCAUCCUGCCUUGAGGACGCUCACCAGUGACUACAACACGCUCAAGAAGCAAGUGCACCACUUCCCCAGCAUGCUGCAGAACGCCAUCGAUAACGCCAAGCACGAGAUCUGUCAGGUGAUCAGUGAGGUGAGCCUGACCAACCAGAAGCUUGUCGACAAAUACAAACGCGAGAUGAACCUGAGGAAGAAGAUCCACAACCAGCUGGUCCAGCUCAAAGGAAACAUCCGAGUGUUGUGCCGCGUACGUCCCGUCGACGGCGGUCAGCAGGAGAGCAUGUUGACCUUUGACCCGGACGACGACGGCGUCCUCUACCUCAGCAACAAGGGCAAGGUCGUGACCUUUGCCCUGGACAAAGUCUUCCCGCCUCAGGCCACCCAGGAAGAGGUGUUCGCCGAGGUGGAGUCGCUGGUGACGUCCUGCGUCGAUGGCUUCAACGUUUGCAUCUUCGCGUACGGACAGACGGGCUCGGGAAAGACCUACACCAUGGAGGGCGCGCCGUCGGACCCAGGCCUGAACCAGCGAGCGCUGCGCCUCCUUUUCUCGCGAGUGACUGACAAAAGUCCCGAGUGGGAAUUCCACAUCUGCGUCAGCAUGCUGGAGAUUUACAACGAGACGCUAAGGGACCUUCUUGGCGACAAGCAGGCGGACAAACUGGACAUCAAGAUGAAUCCCGACGGGAACGGGCAACUUUACGUGCCAGGACUGACGCGCGUCGCCGUGCGCACGGUCGACGACGUCAACGAGGUUCUGGAGGCGGGCCGAGCGAGCCGAGCGACGGCGUGCACCAACCUCAACGAGCGGAGUUCUCGCUCUCACGCUCUGCUCGUCGUCAGCGUGGCGGGACUCAACGACACCACGGGAAGUCGCACGCAAGGUAAGCUGAACCUGGUGGACCUGGCCGGUUCCGAGCGGCUCCGUAAAUCAGGCGCCGAGGGCGGGCGUCUGCGCGAGGCUCAGCACAUCAACAAAUCUUUGUCGGCGCUGGGUGACGUCAUCAACGCGCUGCGAUGCAAACACGCUCACGUUCCCUUCAGGAACUCUCGCUUGACUUUCCUGCUGCAGGACAGCCUGCAAGGGGACAGCAAGACGCUCAUGAUGGUGCAGGUCCAAAAACCACGUCUUCUCUUCCUAUAUGAUUUCGUUGGCUUUUCACCGUCUUUGUUCAGUCCGACUGUGAUUUUCAAUAAAAAUCCAUCAGAAUACAAAGCGGUUCUUUGUGGUCCGAUGGAUUGCUAUUGAAAAGUGCCAGCUUACAAACUCCACUGUGGCACAGUUUACUGUUUUGACUGUUUUGGCAUUAAAGGGGCGCGGAUCCUCCUUUCUGCUUGACCUAACAGCCGAACAGGACAAAAAACAACAACAAAAACACGUCUCAAACUACUCUCUCUCUCUCUCACUGAUACUUUGUCUGUGUCUCUGUGCAUGUGUGUCUGUCCGUCCAUCCAUCCAUCCAUCCAUCCAUCCAUCCAUUUUCUCUGCUUAUCUGAGGUUGGGUCGCGGGGGCGGCAGCUGAAGCGGGGAAGCCCCGACUUCCCUCUCCCCAGCACUUCCGGGGGGAUCCCCAGGCGUCCCCAGGCCAGCCCAGCGUGUUUGCCUGGGUGACCCUAAGCUGAAACUAGAAAGUAGAACGCCCCAGACAAUUGACUCUCGCUCCUUGGAUCAUUGGGACAAUUGUGUGUGUGUGUGUGUGUGUAUUACUACUAUUUUGAGUGUCUGUCUGUGUGUUGCCCUGCGAUUGGCUGGCAACCAGUGCAGGGCGUACCCCGCCUCCUGCCCGAUGACAGCUGGGAUAGGCUCCGGCACGCCCGCGACCCGAGUGUCCCCCGUGCUGGGGAACGUGAGUGAGUCGCUAUGCUCUCUGAAGUUCGCUCAGCGUGUUCGCAGCGUGGAGCUCAACACGUCAAGC